AAACCAAGAAGCUUGCUUCUUGGGGUUGUAGGACACUCUAUACGGAGUUACAAAAGAAAGUUAUAAAUGAAGCGGUCUGGAAAGGCCCGCCAAAGACGGUAACAGCCCGGUAGUUGAAAUGGCUUUCCCUCCAGAGUGGAUCCUGAGUACGGCGGAACACGUGAAAUUCCGUCGGAAUCCGGGAGGACCAUCUCCCAAGGCUAAAUACUCCCUAGUGACCGAUAGUGAACCAGUACCGUGAGGGAAAGGUGAAAAGCACCCCGGAAGGGGAGUGAAACAGUUCCUGAAACCGUGUGCCUACAAGUAGUUAGAGCCCGUUAAUGGGUGAUAGCGUGCCUUUUGUAGAAUGAACCGGCGAGUUACGAUUUGUUGCAAGGUUAAGCGGAAAAAGCGGAGCCGUAGCGAAAGCGAGUCUGAAUAGGGCGCAUAAGUAACAGGUCGUAGACCCGAAACCAGGUGAUCUACCCAUGUCCAGGAUGAAGGUAAGGUAAUACUUACUGG
rnacentral:rRNA from 1 species